GGGAAAGAUAUGACCUAUGUCGCAAAAUCAGCCAAAAGAUCUUCAGGACAAAUAUGCAUGUGUGUGCUAAUGGUUUUUCCAGCCAAAAACAUGACGGAUUUUAUGAAGAACACGCUUUCAUAGGGAUGCCAACGAAGGAUAGAGAAGGAGCUAGUAAAGGAGGAAAUGUUUGUUCAUAAAGAGGCCCAACCCUAUCGUCAUCUAUCACCACCAAUCCUUUGGUAUCGAGAAAAGGAAAGGAAUAAGAGUACCUGCAGGACCUCAUUAGCUCUUUCUACGAUUACACCAUAUGACUGCAUCGAAUAUAACCACUUCUUCGAACAUAUAUAAUUGUUGGCAUUUUACCCUGUGCAGUAUAUUAUAGAGUCGGCAAUGAUCGAUGAUCCAUCAGUGAACAAAACUCUUCCGUCUUCAUGAAGUGACUCGAUCUGCAGCACGGCUGGU